AAUCAACGCUGGCGGCGUGCCUCAGACAUGCAAGUCGAACGAUUAAAGCUCUCUUCGGAGAGUGUAUAGAGUGGCGCACGGGUGAGUAACACGUAAGUAAUCUACCCUCGAGUGGGGAAUAACGUCCGGAAACGGACGCUAAUACCGCAUAAUGCAGCGGCACCGCAAGGUGACAGUUGUUAAAGGAGAAAUUCGCUUGAGGAGGAGCUUGCGGCAGAUUAGCUUGUUGGUAAGGUAACGGCUUACCAAGGCUACGAUCUGUAACCGGUCUUAGAGGACGGUCGGUCACACUGACACUGAAUAACGGGUCAGACUCCUACGGGAGGCAGCAGUCGGGAAUUUUGGGCAAUGGGCGAAAGCCUGACCCAGCAACGCCGCGUGAAGGAUGAAGUAUUUCGGUAUGUAAACUUCGAAAGAAUAGGAAGAAUAAAUGACGGUACUAUUUAUAAGGUCCGGCUAACUACGUGCCAGCAGCCGCAGUAAC
rnacentral:rRNA from 1 species